AGAGGAUGUUGCGACAUUCUAAUUUCUAACAGUAAGAAUGAAUCAGAUGUAAAUUAGGUCGUGAAUUGAUUGAAUCAGACAUUUUCCAGAAUAUAAUUCAAACAAAUAUGUUCACCUUUAUAUACAGCAGUAUAGCAAAGGAGUUAUGGAAAUAUCCCUGGGUUCUGGAUAUGUUCCAAUGCAUCAGUACAACAAUUAUAAAUAAACCAUAUCUACUGAUUUUAUUAUUUAUUAUUAUUUUCGUCAUGUAUUUUUCGUUAUCAACUUAUAAUAAAGUCGUCGACAUGACGGAUAUCGGUUAUGAGGAUAGAAGAAUGAAUGCGAGGGAAUUACAUAGAAAACGAAUGCAGUUAUUAAAAGAAACAAAUAGAUUAAGAAGUGCAAAAGAAUAUCCUCCUGCUUAUCCAAAUGGAUGGAUAACUUUAUUAGAAUCCAGGGAUCUACCUGUUGGGAAGUGCAAGCCUGUAACUGCCUUA